AAGUCGUAACAAGGUCUCCGUAGGUGAACCUGCGGAGGGAUCAUUAAACACGUAUCCAAACGUUCUAUCAAACCCAAACCGUGCUCCUUUUUCUCCUGUACAGAGUUGGUGACUAGCAAGCCAUCAGGUGGAUUGGCCUUUUCAUUAAGGUCACUACUUGCAGUCUAUUGGUAUCUCCAAGGCCGACCAAUUCUUUACAGCGUAAUUGCAAGCCGCCUGGGUUACUUGUGCCAAACCGGUUCGACCCGGAGCCUUGUAACCUUAGUAAUCCCCAUCAUUUUUUAACCCCUUUCUAUUUUAUAACUACUGAUCAUAUAGUGCUUUUGGACAACAGCUUUGUCUGUCUUACAAAAGCCUACAUACGAAAUAUAAGAACAACUCUUAGCAAUGGAUAUCUUGGUUUUC
rnacentral:misc_RNA from 1 species